UGAUGCGCCAAGCACUAAAAUGACACAGUUUUAUGACUAGGUCUUAAAUUAGCCAUAACUUCUUACUCGGGUAUCGGAUUUGGGCAAAUCUUAUAUCGAUGGAAAUCUUAUAAGAUUUCCCACGUGAUAGAAAAUCAAAAUUAUGAUAGAAAAUCAAAAUUAAGUAAAUUAUAUAUAGUUAACAUGAUAAUCACUUCAAAAUCCACUUCUCAAUCUUUU
rnacentral:lncRNA from 1 species